rnacentral:tRNA from 1 species
GCCUGUGUAGCAUAGCCUGGUUUAAUGCGCGAGGUUUGUAACCUUGAGAUCGGGGAUUCAAAUUCCUCCUCAGGCU